rnacentral:rRNA from 1 species
GUCUUUUUGUUAUUUAUUAUAAGGUCUGACCUGCCCACUGAAAUUAUUUUGAAGGGCCGCAGUAUUUUGACUGUGCAAAGGUAGCAUAAUCAUUAGUCUUUUAAUUGAAGGCUGGUAUGAAUGGUUGGAUGAGGUGCAUGCUGUUUCAUAAAAAAUAAAGAUUGAAUUUAUCAUUUUAGUUAAAAGACUGAAAUUUUUUUAAAAGACGAGAAGACCCUAUAGAGCUUUAUAUAAGUAGUAUCUAAUUUAUUAAGAUUUUUUAAAUUUAGUUAUUUAUUUAUAUUUUGUUGGGGUGACAAUAAAAUCUAUAAAACUUUUAUUUUUAUUUAACAUUAAUUUAUGAGUAAAUGAUCCAGUUUUAUUGAUUAUAAAUUUAAGUUACCUUAGGGAUAACAGCGUAAUUUUUUUUGAGAGUUCUUAUCGAUAAAAAAGAUUGCGACCUCGAUGUUGGAUUAAGAGUAAUUUUGGGUGUAGAAGUUCAAAGUUUAAGUCUGUUCGACUUUUAAAUUCUUACAU